CCCCGGGGAUAACAGGCUUUUCCCCCCCAAGAGUCCACAUCGACGGGGAGGUUUGGCACCUCGAUGUCGGCUCAUCGCAUCCUGGGGCUGUAGUCGGUCCCAAGGGUUGGGCUGUUCGCCCAUUAAAGCGGUACGCGAGCUGGGUUCAGAACGUCGUGAGACAGUUCGGGCCCUAGCCGUCGUGGGCGCAGGAAAUGUGAGAGGAGCUGUCCUUAGUACGAGAGGACCGGGAUGGACGCACCGCUGGUGUACCAGUUGUUCUGCCAAGGGCAUAGCUGGGUAGCUAUGUGCGGAAGGGAUAAGUGCUGAAAGCAUCUAAGCAUGAAGCCCCCCUCAAGAUGAGAUUUCCCAUAGCGUAAGCUAGUAAGAUCCCUGAAAGAUGAUCAGGUUGAUAGGUUCGAGGUGGAAGCAUGGUGACAUGUGGAGCUGACGAAUACUAAUAGAUCGAGGACUUAACCAUAUAA
rnacentral:rRNA from 1 species